AUCACCUUAUGAACAUAACAAGAGAUACCUUUGUCGCUCUCAUCAUUGAAAAAUUCUCAAGGAUUAUAGGAGCUCUGUGCCAGAAACGGGGAUGAAGAGUAAAUAUAUAUUCCUUAUUCUACGUCACAACAUCACGGUGAUGGGAUCUCUUUUGCUACCAGGGGAAGCCCGGACUAGUCUAAGGAAGGCAAGAGCACAAAGAACUGAGGCCAGCCAUUCCAGCUGAGGACCACUAGAUCAACCUGCCAUGAGCUGAUGGAGACCACCAAAGUCCCUCCAAGUGAGUCCAGUACGAGGUGAGAAACACCUGAUUGAGCCCAGCCUCCACCUACACAGCCUACACGGAAAACCUACAGAAUUAUGUGUAAAUAAAAUAAGCAUGGUUUAAAGUCA